rnacentral:misc_RNA from 1 species
GAGAAGGAAAUUGUCAUCUACUCUACCAUGAUAGAUGACAUCUGACUAAUUCUAACUAGAUAAUGGAGUUGCACAAUUAACUGUUAGCCGUUAUUAAUCAAUCUAAGCUGGGAAUAAAAAUCUGGACUGUAAAACCAAAUUUUUAAUGUUGAUUAGACUUAGUAAUAAAUGUUGGUGGUCCCUGCUGGCUGAUUCAAAGAAAAGAUACUUUCCAUGUGAUAUGAAUCAAACGCAAUCAAUCAUGAUCUUGAUGGUGAAUUAAUGCAUAAGAGGGGGGCCCCUCUUUGCAGGUUUAAUCAAUCAUCUUCCCACCAUUAAUAUACACAAGAGAGAAAUACAAGUCCUUUUCU